rnacentral:rRNA from 1 species
GACGAACGCUGGCGGCGUGCUUAACACAUGCAAGUCGAACGGAAAGGCCCUGCUUUUGUGGGGUUCUCGAGUGCCGAACGGGUGAGUAACACGUGAGUAACCUGCCCUUGACUUUGGGAUAACUUCAGGAAACUGGGGCUAAUACCGGAUAGGAGCUCCUGCUGCAUGGGGGGGGUUGGUAAGUUUCGGCGGUUGGGGAUGGACUCGCGGCUUAUCAGCUGGAUGGGGGGGUAGUGGCUUACCAAGGCUUUGACGGGUAGCCGGCGUGAGAGGGUGACCGGCCACAAUGGGACUGAGAUACGGCCCAGACUCCUACGGGAGGCAGCAGUGGGGAAUAUUGCACAAUGGGCGGAAGCCUGAUGCAGCAACGCCGCGUGCGGGAUGACGUCCUUCGGGUUGUAAACCGCUUUCGCCUGUGACGAAGCGUGAGUGACGGUAAUGGGUAAAGAAGCACCGGCUAACUACGUG